rnacentral:rRNA from 1 species
GACGAACGCUGGCGGCGUGCUUAACACAUGCAAGUCGAGCGGAAAGGCCCUUUCGGGGGUACUCGAGCGGCGAACGGGUGAGUAACACGUGAGUAAUCUGCCCUUCACUUGGGGAUAACUACCGGAAACGGUGGCUAAUACCCGAUAUGACCAAUCACUGCAUGGUGUGGUGGUGGAAAGUUUUUUCGGUGGAGGAUGUGCUCGCGGCCUAUCAGCUUGUUGGUGGGGUAAUGGCCUACCAAGGCUUCGACGGGUAGCCGGGCUGAGAGGGUGACCGGCCACACUGGGACUGAGACACGGCCCAGACUCCUACGGGAGGCAGCAGUGGGGAAUAUUGGACAAUGGGCGUAAGCCUGAUCCAGCGACGCCGCGUGAGGGAUGACGGCCUUCGGGUUGUAAACCUCUUUCAGCGGGGACGAAGCGCCGGUAAUGGUGGUGACGGUACCCGCAGAAGAAGCACCGGCCAACUACGUGCCAGCCGCCGCGGUAA